CGGGGGGGGCAAGCGUUGUUCGGAAUUACUGGGCGUAAAGGGCUCGUAGGCGGCCAACUAAGUCCGACGUGAAAUCCCCAGGCUUAACCUGGGAACUGCGUCGGAUACUGGAUGGCUUGAAUUCGGGAGAGGGAUGCAGAGUUCCAGGUGUAGCGGUGAAAUGCGUAGAUAUCUGGAGGAAUACCGGUGGCGAAGGCGGCAUCCUGGACCGACAUUGACGCUGAUGAGCGAAAGCUAGGGGAGCAAACGGGAUUAGAUACCCCGGUAGUCCUAGCCCUAAACGAUGAAUGCUUGGUGUGGCGGGUAUCGAUCCCUGCCGUGCCGAAGCUAACGCAUUAAGCAUUCCGCCUGGGGAGUACGGUCGCAAGGCUG
rnacentral:rRNA from 1 species